AGCAGCCGCGGUAAUUCCAGCUCCAAUAGCGUAUAUUAAAGUUGUUGCAGUUAAAAAGCUCGUAGUUGAAUUUCGGGGUUAGUAGGUUGGUCGUGCCACUGGUAUGUACUGGCUUUACUGAUUCCUCCUUCUUGUAGAACCGUAAUGCCAUUAAGUUGGUGUUGCGGGGAAACAGGACUGUUACUUUGAAAAAAUUAGAGUGUUUAAAGCAAGCUAACGCUUGAAUACAUUAGCAUGGAAUAAUGAAAUAGGACGUUCGAUCCUAUUUUGUUGGUUUCUAGGAUUGACGUAAUGAUUAAUAGGGAUAGUUGGGGGCAUUAGUAUUCAAUUGUCAGAGGUGAAAUUCUUGGAUUUAUUGAAGACUAACUACUGCGAAAGCAUUUGCCAAGGAUGUUUUCAUUAAUCAAGAACGAAAGUUAGGGGAUCGAAGACGAUCAGAUACCGUCGUAGUCUUAACCAUAAACUAUGCCGACUAGGGAUCGGAUGAUGCUAAUUUUAUAAUGACUCAUUCGGCGCCUUA
rnacentral:rRNA from 1 species